rnacentral:ncRNA from 1 species
CUGAUCAACGCGUGCGGGUCAAUUGCGGCUUGCAACACCCGAUCUCCCUCAACGUGCCGCCGAAAAUGGCGGUCGACGAGGGCGAGCGCGUGACUAUCAG